rnacentral:rRNA from 1 species
UACGAAGGGGGCUAGCGUUGCUCGGAAUCACUGGGCGUAAAGGGUGCGUAGGCGGGUCUUUAAGUCAGGGGUGAAAUCCUGGAGCUCAACUCCAGAACUGCCUUUGAUACUGAGAUCUUGAGUUCGGGAGAGGUGAGUGGAACUGCGAGUGUAGAGGUGAAAUUCGUAGAUAUUCGCAAGAACACCAGUGGCGAAGGCGGCUCACUGGCCCGGUACUGACGCUGAGGUGCGAAAGCGUGGGGAGCAAACAGG